AUCUGGAAAGAUGAAUCAAAGAAGGUAAUAAUCCUGUAGUCGAAAAUGUUGUCUCUCUUGAGUGGAUCCUGAGUACGACGGAGCACGUGAAAUUCCGUCGGAAUCUGGGAGGACCAUCUCCUAAGGCUAAAUACUCUCUAGUGACCGAUAGUGAACCAGUACCGUGAGGGAAAGGUGAAAAGCACCCCGGAAGGGGAGUGAAAUAGAACCUGAAACCGUGUGCUUACAAGUAGUCAGAGCCCGUUAAUGGGUGAUGGCGUGCCUUUUGUAGAAUGAACCGGCGAGUUACGAUUUGAUGCAAGGUUAAGCAGUAAAUGUGGAGCCGUAGCGAAAGCGAGUCUGAAUAGGGCGUUUAGUAUUUGGUCGUAGACCCGAAACCAGGUGAUCUACCCUUGGUCAGGUUGAAGUUCAGGUAACACUGAAUGGAGGACCGAACCGACUUACGUUGAAAAGUGAGCGGAUGAACUGAGGGUAGCGGAGAAAUUCCAAUCGAACCUGGAGAUAGCUGGUUCUCUCCGAAAUAGCUUUAGGGCUAGCCUCAAGUGAUGAUUAUUGGAGGUAGAGCACUGUUUGGACGAGGGGCCCCUCUCGGGUUACCGAAUUCAGACAAACUCCGAAUGCCAAUUAAUUUAACUUGGGAGUCAGAACAUGGGUGAUAAGGUCCGUGUUCGAAAGGGAAACAGCCCAGACCACCAGCUAAGGUCCCAAAAUAUAUGUUAAGUGGAAAAGGAUGUGGCGUUGCCCAGACAACUAGGAUGUUGGCUUAGAAGCAGCCAUCAUUUAAAGAGUGCGUAAUAGCUCACUAGUCGAGUGACACUGCGCCGAAAAUGUACCGGGGCUAAACAUAUUACCGAAGCUGUGGAUUGUCCUUUGGACAAUGGUAGGAGAGCGUUCUAAGG
rnacentral:rRNA from 1 species